CAGCAGUGGGGAAUAUUGCGCNAUGGGGGGAACCCUGACGCAGCCAUGCCGCGUGAAUGAAGAAGGCCUUCGGGUUGUAAAGUUCUUUCGGUAUUGAGGAAGGUUGAUGUGUUAAUAGCACAUCAAAUUGACGUUAAAUACAGAAGAAGCACCGGCUAACUCCGUGCCAGCAGCCGCGGUAAUACGGAGNGUGCGAGCGUUAAUCGGAAUAACUGGGCGUAAAGGGCACGCAGGCGGUUAUUUAAGUGAGGUGUGAAAGCCCCGGGCUUAACCUGGGNAUUGCAUUUCAGACUGGGUAACUAGAGUACUUUAGGGAGGGGUAGAAUUCCACGUGUAGCGGUGAAAUGCGUAGAGAUGUGGAGGAAUACCGAAGGCGAAGGCAGCCCCUUGGGAAUGUACUGACGCUCAUGUGCGAAAGCGUGGGGAGCAAACAGGAUUAGAUACCCUGGUAGUCCACGCUGUAAACGCUGUCGAUUUGGGGGUUGGGGUUUAACUCUGGCACCCGUAGCUAACGUGAUAAAUCGACCGCCUGGGGAGUACGGCCGCAAGGUUAAAACUCAAAUGAAUUGACGGGGGCCNGCACAAGCGGUGGAGCAUGUGGUUUAAUUCGAUGCAACGCGAAGAACCUUACCUACUCUUGACAUCCUAAGAAGAGCUCAGAGAUGAGCUUGUGCCUUCGGGAACUUAGAGACAGGUGCUGCAUGGCUGUCGUCAGCUCGUGUUGUGAAAUGUUGGGUUAAGUCCCGCAACGAGCGCAACCCUUAUCCUUUGUUGCCAGCGACUUGGUCGGGAACUCAAAGGAGACUGCCAGUGAUAAACUGGAGGAAGGUNGGGAUGACGUCAAGUCAUCAUGGCCCUUACGAGUAGGGCUACACACGUGCUACAAUGGCGUAUACAGAGGGAAGCGAAGCUGCGAGGUGGAGCGAAUCUCAUAAAGUACGUCUAAGUCCGGAUUGGAGUCUGCAACUCGACUCCAUGAA
rnacentral:rRNA from 1 species